CCCUUAGAUGUUCUGGGCCGUACGCGUGCUACACUGAGUGGAUCAGCGGGUCAGGUUGCGCGAAAGCGUUUCCUAAUCUUUAAAUCCGCUCGUGAUGGGGAUUGACGGUUGCAAUUUUCUGUCAUGAACGAGGAAUACCUUGUAAGCGCGGGUCAUCAUCCCGCGCUGAAUACGUCCCUGCCCUUUGUACACACCGCCCGUCGCUCCUACCGAUUGAGUGGUCCGGUGAGGCUUUGGGAUCUGAGCGGAAAGAGCGUUUCGCUGUUUCUGCUCGGAAAACUCAGUCGAACCUUAUCAUUUAGAGGAAGGAGAAGUCGUAACA
rnacentral:rRNA from 1 species